UCCGUACUGGUGUAUCGGUAACAUUUCCGCCUCUCAAGCAUGAUCGCGGUAGCGCAGGGUUCGACUCCCUGGUACGGAA
rnacentral:tRNA from 2 species